ACGUAGGUGGCGAGCGUUGUCCGGAAUUAUUGGGCGUAAAGGGAGCGCAGGUGGGAGAGUAAGUCAGUCUUAAAAGUGCGGGGCUCAACCCCGUGAGGGGAUUGAAACUACUUUUCUUGAGUGCAGGAGAGGAAAGCGGAAUUCCUAGUGUAGCGGUGAAAUGCGUAGAUAUUAGGAGGAACACCAGUGGCGAAGGCGGCUUUCUGGACUGUAACUGACACUGAGGCUCGAAAGCCAGGGGAGCGAACGG
rnacentral:rRNA from 1 species